UUUUGCAUGCGCUACAAAUAGGCGCUCCGUCUUUCGCCUUUGCCGGUAACCACCCAUGGAUAAAUCGAGGAGCGGGUUUGCAAAGACGAGGUGCCAUUAGAAGACCGCCUUCUACUACUACUAGACGAUCAACUACAAUGCAUUUUUCAUGUCUUCUGGUGGCGAACCAGCCCUAUUCGUCUUCUUUGUUGUGUGUGGCGAAUAUGCUAGACAAAGACCCCGAAAUUCACUUCAAGUGUCUGUACAACACUAACGAGUAUGAAUUGAAACUCUCGAGAACAUCAAAAUGACAAACGCUGACAAAGUCUGCACGCAGGGCACGAGGACUAUUCGGACAAGGCAAAUAAUCUAUUCAAGAUAUUCAGCUCCGGAACACUAGAAGUCUGACUAAAAAGGAAAAUAAAGAUAUUUCGAACACUGCUGGCGCUCCGUCUUUCGCCUUUGCCGGUAACCACCCAUGGACAAAUCGUGGAGGGGGUUUGCAAAGACAAAAUGCCAUUAGAAGACCGCCUCCUUCAACUACUACUAGACGAACAACUACAAGUACGUAUUUUUAAAGCAUUCAUAUGAACAUCUGACAUCGUCCAGAUUGCAAGCCUAAACAGGGAAGCUUUGUUUACAAAGGGAAUACCACUAAUAAGGCACUCAGGGGGAAUAAGAGC